rnacentral:lncRNA from 1 species
ACAUCCCACCCCAUCUUCUGUUACUCCACCCUACCCCUCCCAUCCCUCCACCUCUUCCUCCUCCUCUUCUACCAACGCCCGCACUAUCUUCUGGUUCUUCUCCUCUUCAACCUCCAUUCUCCCCCUCUCCCUUCUUUUCCUCUCUCUUUCACCCUCCCCCACUCUUUCGUGUCUCUUUCCUCCUCUGAAUAACCAAGCUGUUUUGCUUCCGAAAGUAGAGAGAGAGGGAGAGAGAGAGAGAGAGAGAGAGAGAGAGAGAGAGAGAGAGGAGAGAGAGGCCUUGCUGUGAAUGGAAGACAGGAGGGACUCUGGUACAUCUGGGAGUGGAAACUUGAUGCUUCUGGGCUGUGAUUUGCCAAGGUCUCGCCAAAGAGGAGAGGGAGCAAACAGACACCAGCAAAGCAUUCCUGUAACACGAUGUGCUACACAAGUUCCCAGUAGCGACAGACGCCUAAAGGAGCCUGUUUGUGUGCUGUGUGGCCACGUUCUGCUGUGACUGGAUCUUGUCUUCUGCCUGGCUCCUCGAUUUCCGUCCGGCUGGAUUUGGGGACAACACUGCCUGGCGCAGACAGAUCAAAUGACACUUCAAAGAAGCAUAAAAUGAACAGACUAUUCAAACAAAGGUAAUUUACAUUUUUUUAUUUGAUAAAACCUGACUGAUGUACAAAACGAAAAUAGAAUAUUGUUUACUGGAAAACAGGUCUACAAUCUCUCACACAUCUUCUCUUGCAACAGAUAGAAUUCCAGAAACAUCUAAGUUCCUCUGUGUACAGUUAUUUCUCCUGUAGGAGCCUUUGUAUGGAUGUAAUACACACAUAUAUGUAUAUGCAUAGAGCAUGACAUAAAUAAAACCUGCAAUAGCCUAUAAGAAAGAAGCUCCUAUUUAGAGGAAAGGGUAAGAUACUUUUAUUAUAAUGAAAGCCAGUUCACUUCAUCACUUGGACCAUGGACACUAAUGUAAAUAAAAUGGCUUAAAAAAUAAGACAAUAGUAGUAUUGACUGUAGACUACAAUUUGCACAUUUGUAAUUCUUAUAAAUGAAAUAUUUAAAAUGAUUUGGUGUUGGGCCAGUUCCUUAUGCAUUCUGCAUUCAUGUGUAUAGGAUUCAAAGACGUUCCAAAUAUUGAUCAUAAACCAAGUGUAUAUGAAUUAAUUAAAUAGCAUAUUUCUGGCCCAAAUAUGAGGAAAACCAUAACUUUUUACUGUAAAUCAGGAGAGAUUGUUUUAUCCCCAAAUAAACUAGGAUGUUUCAAGUCAUGUUUCAGCAAUUUGGAGACCUACAAACUAUCUGCAAGCAAGCACAACAACCAUACUCUAAUCUACUAGAUAGUAGUGAGAAUUUAGUGCUUGAAUUCAGGCUGCUUGAAUUCAGUAUAUCCUUCUCUAUGCUGAUUUUCAAGUAGAUAUUCUGUAGCUCAGCUAGAUAAUCUUUUAAAAGCAAAAAAAAAAUUAAGUUUAAAGUGUAGUUGCUAAGAGCUGCUCUUCACAGGUGACAUCGCUAGGAGUCUUUGAAGAUAUGUAAUUGUAACGUAUUGUGGGGUAUAUAUAAUACAUACAAUAAACCAUUUUAUAAACCUUGGCAAUCUUAUAAAUAAGGGGGCACUCGAUGUUAAAUCUUAGUAUAUUUAAUUUCUUCUGUGUGCCUGUGAGGUUGAUAGAGAGUUAAAAUAUUUAAUUGACUACAUUGCUAAUGAACAGACUACCCAUAAUCCUGAUCUUGGCUCAUUUCACUCAUUGGAGUUCCCAUGAUGAAUACCAAGCGUGGAGACCGGCCUUGUAGUAAGUUGGCAUGACUAGUGUUGCCCUAAGAAUGUGGUAUUUAUUACAGCAUCUUAUUCAGAUUCUAGUGGGAGAAGCGUUCAGAUAUGCAGUGUGUUAACUCAUUGUAGAUAUUGUUUCUAAAAACACAUUUUAUUGUUAGGUAUGGGAAUAGAGUCAUAAUAACUUUCAAAUUCAGAAAAUAUGUGAAUAAAUAACACCCUCCCAACACAUAGAUAUAUAUAUGUAGCUAGCACACCUAGAUACAUGUGAAGAAAAGAGAUUCUAUAAGACCAUUUUUGAUUUCUUGGGCUUUGGCUUACACAGUUGACUAUAUCUGAUCACGUGCUUAUUUUAUGUAAUACAAGCCAAAUCAUUAAUUACUCUGCUGCUAGUUCUUGGAAAGCAAGGCCACGGUGCUCUUUAAUCUUCCAAGCUGCAAAGCUCAUUAGGAUUUUUACAUGAUGUCAGAAGUGGCAUGCGCUUCACUGAGUUGUUUAUGCUGUGACCAUAUGGUUUAGGAAUGAACAAAAACUCUAUGAACAUGCCUUUAGGAUUGGAUUGUAGUGUCCGUGUGUAUUUUAUUUCUGACUUCUCGUUCAUAAUUUGAAGAGAAAUAUAGACGAACUCUUUCCACAUCUUAGUCUUUUCUCAAUAGCCAGUUACAGAAUGCUUACCAUAAAAGUAAACAAAUUAAUAUAAGGACAAAUUGGCAUCUCUGUUACUAAGCUGUAAGCCAUAUCUUAAUUGGUGUGAUAUGUUUAAACUCUUCAUUGGAGAUGUUUCCUAUCAUUAAAACACAAACCAAACAAACAAACAAAAAAAA